rnacentral:rRNA from 1 species
GACGUAAGGCGCGAGCGUUGUCCGGAUUUAUUGGGCGUAAAGAGCUCGUAGGCGGCUUGUUGCGUCGACUGUGAAAACCCGCGGCUUAACUGCGGGCUUGCAGUUGAUACGGGCAGGCUAGAGUUCGGUAGGGGAGACUGGAAUUCCUGGUGUAGCGGUGAAAUGCGCAGAUAUCAGGAGGAACACCGGUGGCGAAGGCGGGUCUCUGGGCCGAUACUGACGCUGAGGAGCGAAAGCGUGGGGAGCGAACAGG